CAGUAGCCGCGGGAAAACAGAGGGUGCGAGCGUUAAUCGGAUUUACUGGGCGUAAAGCGUGCGUAGGCGGCUAAUUGAGUCGGAUGUGAAAUCCCCGAGCUUAACUUGGGAAUUGCAUUCGAUACUGGUUAGCUAGAGUGUGGGAGAGGAUGGUAGAAUUCCAGGUGUAGCGGUGAAAUGCGUAGAGAUCUGGAGGAAUACCGAUGGCGAAGGCAGCCAUCUGGCCUAACACUGACGCUGAGGUACGAAAGCAUGGGGAGCAAACAGGAUUAGAUACCCGAGUAGUCCCUGUCUCUUAUAC
rnacentral:rRNA from 1 species